rnacentral:rRNA from 1 species
GAUGAACGCUGGCGGCGUGCCUAAUACAUGCAAGUCGAGCGAACGGACGAGAAGCUUGCGUCUCUGAUGUUAGCGGCGGACGGGUGAGUAACACGUGGAUAACCUACCUAUAAUACUGGGAUAACUUCGGGAAACCGGAGCUAAUACCGGAUAAUAUUUUGAACCGCAUGGUUCAAAAGUGAAAGACGGUCUUGCUGUCACUUAUAGAUGGAUCUGCGCUGCAUUAGCUAGUUGGUAAGGUAACGGCUUACCAAGGGAACGAUGCAUAGCCGACCUGAGAGGGUGAUCGGCCACACUGGAACUGAGACACGGUCCAGACGCCUACGGGAGGCAGCAGUAGGGAAUCUUCCGCAAUGGGCGAAAGCCUGACGGAGCAACGCCGCGUGAGUGAUGAAGGUCUUCGGAUCGUAAUACUCUGUUAUUAGGGAAGAACAUAUGUGUAAGUAACUGUGCACAUCUUGACGGUACCUAAUCAGAAAGCCACGGCUAACUACGUG